UCUGGAAGAUAAAGGAACACGGGGAGUCAGAAGAAGUCAGGACCCUCCUUCCACUCCUAGAAAAGCAAGAUGAAGGGAAGGGACAGCUGUUAUUCGGGGGGAGGGGGUUGUCUGCAUAGUUUGCAGAGGGUGAGGCCCAGGAGCAGUGACAGAUGGAGGGAAGGUGGCCCAUGUCCUUCUGGCUGGCUCUCUGCAGUGUGGACUUUCUUGCAGUGUGGGGUGUGAGCUUAUAGAGUUGCCUGUGGAAAUGUUGAAUGUGUGGAUUUGCAGGAGUCCUGUGGCCGGUGCUUCCAGUUUCACAACUAUCAGGAAGGUUGGCUUGCUGUCCUUGUAUCCCAUAGCGGUCUGUUCUCUGGGGCUGAUGUCUGGGUUCCAGGGCAGAUCAGCACAGGAUCUUGGCUCGUGACUGAGGUAGACUCUGCCCUUAGCCUUAGAGCUGCACGUGUGUAGGGGACCAUGUUGGAGAAAGCCUUUCCUGAAAUUACCAAGAAAAAGUUAUUUCUCCCUGUUCAGAGGUAGAUCAGCUGCCAGAGCCUUCUGAACCUGCCAAGGACCAUGAUUGGCUGAGAUCAACUCAGGACUCAUCUUCUUGGUGCUGGAGAGGAAGUCACCCUGAGGAUGUACACACAUGGAGAAGGAACUGUGAGCAAUUGGGACUUUGCCAGUAAUAACUGCUGAGGCAAGAAUGGCUGAUGGAUUGUGUAUGGCAGGAUAGGAAGAGCUGUGCUGACAGUAAACCUUGCUACCCGAGUGGCUUAGCACAGCACAUUAAUUCCACAUACAGAGUCUGAGGAAUGCUAGGUAGAAUCUGUUACCCAGCUGGUGACUGGGGCUCUUGCUCCUCUUGGUCCUGCUCUUUGUGAAUCUCCCAGGUCUCCUGUGGCCUCUCAGGUCUCCAUAUGACCUCCCAGGUCUCAUGUGACUUCUUGGGUCUCCAUGUGACUUCUUUGGUCUCCAUGUAUGUGGUCUUCAAGUUCUCCAUAGCAAUGGUAGAAUAUUUAGUUUAUUUUAACAGAUUAUUUCCUUUUAUAUUUUGUAUCUGUGUCUGCCUGUGUGUGUCUGUGGUGACCAUGUCCACAUGAGUGCAGGUGCCCGUGCAUUCAUGGAGGCCAGCAGAGGGCAUAGGAUCCCCUAGAGCUGCUGUGGUAGGAGGCUAUGACCUGCCUGCUACAGGAGCUGAGAACAGAGCUUGGCUUCCCUGCAAGAGUAGUAUUUGCUCUUAACGACCGAGGUAUCCCUUCAGCCUGGAAUCGUAAAUUGCCCAGGAGUGACACAGUUCACGUUUGUCAUUAUGCAUCUGUUAGACAUAGUCCAGUGGCUCCAACCUAACUCAGGGGCUGAUUGUGUGGUAUUAGUGGCCACUUGAGAAUCUCUUGAACAUUGACUGUUUUUCCAUAGCAGGCAAUCAAGAUGCAGAGGCGAUAAAUAAAUCAACAAACAAGCAAGCAAAUAAGUAUAUAAAGGGGAGCUGAACCUAGGGUAACUAAAGGAUGCUGUUAGCAUUGCAAACACUUGCUGGCUGUGUGUGAGACCCUGCUUCCCAUCUUACUGGACUCUCACUGUGUCUGCUCUGGAGAUGAAACUAGGUGACUUGUUCUUUGAGAGACCACUGACCCUGCCAGCUGCAUGGACCUCUGCUCUAUACACUGCUGUCUGAUUGCCUAAGAAGUUUUACAGCCAGACAAGGCAACCUUCUGAUGGACAGAAGGUCACACGGUGGUAUUUUCCUCCUUGCUUGUUUGAAAAAGACUUGAAAGACACUACUCAGUGUUUCAACUGGCAAUUCAAUAUACAGGGGCUUUCUAAACAUGCCGAUGCCAUUGUCUUUCCAUAGUUGGAUUGUUUUCUUGUAUUUUCAAAAAAAUACAUACUGGUGUGAACUAUAGUUGCAGGGGGGAGUCACACCUGUGUUAAAGGUUCUACAAGGCUGAAGGAUUGAAAUGUGUGAUUGUGGAGAAUUAAAAUGUUCUAAGCCAGAGCCAAAUUAUCUUGGGUUAAUUUUAGUCCCUUGGAACGUCUUCAUUGCUGAGUUCUACAUCUGGCCUAACAUCCAGAGGCUACCAAAAUAUUUCAAAUGUGUUCUUGAUAAAUUACUCACAUCUGAGACCUAAAGCAGAUUUCCCCACUUUGAUAGAAACCUGCCCAGCUGUGGUUCCCACCAGUGCAUUGGUAAAUCCCUUGACUUAUUACUUCCUUUGUUCUGUAACUACUUCAUAAUGGAACAUGGUAUUUGAGGCAGCCUGAUUCUGUUUCCCCAGGUCAUGGUCACUCAUAUCUGGCACUAGAAUAAACAACUAUGUUACUUAUUUUAAGAUGAAAGCUGAAUAUUUCCAUACUUUUCUUUCUGCUCUUAUGAUAUCUCCUUUUUCAUGUGACCCUCCUGGGAAGUCAACAAAGAAAGCUUAAAAGAGUACAUCUUUUUAUUUUGUUCUUUGUACCCCACUUCAAUUCCUUUGAGGGUGAUCUUCAGGCUCGGAUUCAGGCCCACCUUAGGUAGAGCACUGCCCCUGACUCUGCUGGUCUUAGUGGGAUUGCCCACUGGGGUGUGAUGGAUUUAGCAUUAUCACGGGUUCCAGUUCUGCACCUGUGAGCGGAGGAACACAGAUGCUCUUGGUUUUGUAUCAGCUGCCAGGGCAAUCGCUCUUCAGUGGAGAGUGGAAGCAGAGAUGGCAUCUAGACGGAAGACACCAUCUUCAAGGGACCUUCGUCAUAUUGAUUCACUUCAGUCUUGACCUUUGGCUCUGUCUUACUUUUUUCCCCUAAUGGUUUCAUCCACAAAGGUGAUGCAUUUUUAAGGUGUAUCGAUGUGUGGUGAGUUUAAGGGGUCCUUGUGAAGUCUGUUAGGCUUGCUGACAACUACGGAGGCUGAAGCAUGGCCGUGGGCAUGCUCUGAAAAGGAGGCUGGUGAUUGGGUUGCUGUUGAGUGAACUGCAGAAUAUUCUUGAAAAAUAGUUUCCCCCUCCCAUCUUGUGACACCGAAGUAGGCAGACAAGCAUGUCCAAAGGCAAGUUAUAAGAAAGAUUAAAAAUUUAUGAGUGGUUUUGCCUCAUUUUUGUACUUAUUCUUAAUAGAUUUUUCCUUUUUAAUACUGUAUGUUGUCUUCAUUUCCUUUCAUCUUUUGAGUAAGAGCACAAUGAAAUGGCCUGCAGACUUGUGAGAUGGAUUUUGUGAACCACUAGCCCAUUUCAUCAACAGGGAACUGCAAAAUAAUUGAAAGAAAUGGCCUUGGAUCUGGUUCAACCUGUUAGAAGUGGGUACACAAUUGAGAAAAAUGGAAAAUGAUACUUAAUUAUGGACAUGUUCCCUGGAAGACCAGAUUCUGUGGAGCCCCAAUGUUUAUACAUUAAUAGCAUCCAUGUGUUCAUUGACUGAGCAAAUAAUUCUACCACAUGAUUGACAUGGCUUUAGAUACGAAUGUUUAAGGAUACUUCAAAAAUGAUUUCUUUCAGUGAAAUAGUCAGUCGGAUAGGAUCAUAUAUAAAAUAACUGUCUUAGUAGUGUAAUGUGAAAGUAUAGAGUGUCCCAGGAACAAUAUUGAACAAAGGAAAUGCAUCUGUAUAGUGCUAUCUAUCUUAUUAUAAGAGAUUGUGGGGAAGCCAGGUGUGUUGGUCCACGCCUUUAAUCCCACCACUAGGGAGGCAGAAGCAGAUGGAUUCUGAGUUUCAGGCUAUCAACUUGGUCUAUAUUGUGAGUUCCAGGAGAGCCAGGGCUUCCUAGUAAGGACCUCUUUCCUAUUAUACAUAGCAGAGGAAUAUGUUGUUUUCUCCUCAGGAUUCUACUGUCGAGGAUUUCUGUAUCACUAUAAAUGACAGGAAAAUUCUACAAGGGGCAUUUUCUUCCCUCCCUUCUACGUUCCUACAGAGUAGGUGAGUGUUUACCCAUGAUAGAGAGCUUGAUCUGCCCUGCACCACUGUUCCCCGCCACAUCCCACACCCCCGAAGCCCCUGGAACACUCCUAAUCCUUCAGGGCCCCAUUCCUAGGUCUCCCAUGUUCUUAAUCUACUAGGUAGGGCUAGACUCGAGGGCAGGCUGAUAGGGCUUUCAUAUUGGUGUAUAUUUGCAGAACUUGCCCUGGUAUAGAGUUGAGGAGUAUGCCAGUAAGAAAUUUGCGUUUGGGGCUUGAGUAUGUGACUCAGUAGAGGACUGACUAACAUGCAUACUGGGCUCCAUCUCUGGCACUGCAUAAAAACAGGUGGGGUGCCACAUGUCUAUAACCUUAAUUUGGGAAGUGGUGGCAGGAGGAUUACGUGUUCAAACUCAUCCUAGGCUACUUUCCUAAUUCAGUUCUCCUCUGGGCUAUAUGAGACCCAGUCUCAAAAAGAAUGGUUUACCUUUUGGCCUUGGAGCUGAGAAAAGUUCUAUAAUUCCUCUUUACCCAAGGACCCUAGUUCUCCAGUGACAGUUAACCAUGCUUAUGUAUGAAAAUUUAGGGGUGUUUCUUUACCAGUUAGAAUGCAGAAGGCAAGCAAGUUAUCCAUAUCCCUGGUGUGUAACUAUCUCAUUUGAUACUUACAAAGAUCCCAUGAGAAGGUUGUGGCAGGGUCAACUCUUCUUACUUUGCAGGCAAUGAGGCAGGUAGAGUGUGUAGAAUAAUAGAAUGCCAGCCACAUGGACAUGCGUUUGAAUUCUGGUUCUGGUGCCUAUGCACCAACUCUCCUAAAGAGGCGUUCCCUAGCUUUAUGGGCCUCCGUUUCUUCCUUUGUCAAACUGAAGCAGUGUCACUAUCUUUACAAGUUCUUUGUGGGAACCAGAUGUUGAAUGCAGAGACUGUCAAGCCAGAUGUCUGAGGCAGAGAAGCCAGUGGUAGGUAUGUGACUGGAUUUGGAGUUGAGACUUGAAGCCAAACCAGAAACCUGAAGGCUCCAGGAUAGUUGAGACUUUGAAGUAUCUCAGUGAACAGUGGGAAGUGGGGGUGGUGUGUGAGUGGCUCUUCCUCCGAGGGACAUUCCACAAUAGAGCACAGCUCUUUGGGACAGUCUUAAGGGCACACUGGCAAAGCCUAAGGUAAGAAUACUGUUUUUCUUGGGAGGCAGAGGCAGGCAGAUCUCUGUGAGUUCGAGGCCACCCUGAUCUCCAGAGCGAGUGCCAGGAUAGGCUCAAGCUACACAGAGGAAACCCUAUCUCGAACCCCCCCCCCAAAAAAAAAAGAAUACUGUUUUUGUUCACAGGAGCUGAGGAGGCCACAAGUCUUUAGAUUGUUCAUUCCCUGAUCAGUGGCACUUUUCUCCUCAGGAAAGAUCCUAAUUCUUCUGAGGGGCCAUUAGUUGCAUGCUAAUCUGUAUGGCAGAGGCAGCCAUGCCUUUAAAUUAUUUCACUUUUUGUCUAUGUGUGUGCACAUAUUAGCACAUAUGUGUAGAGGUCAGAGGUCAAUAUUAGGUGUCUUCCUCUAUCGCUCUCCACCUUUUUUUUUUUUUUUUGCAUCAGUGUCUGUAAUUGAACCUGGAGCACACUCAUUUGUCUACACUGGCAGCCAAGCGAGCUCCAGGGAUGUUUCCAUCUCCACAUCUCCAUUGCUGGGAUUACAGGCAUGAACCGGCACAUUGGGGUUUAAAGGUAGAAUUUGGGAAUGAAACUUAGGUUCCCUUGCUUGUGAAGAGAGUGCCUUGCCAACUGAGCUGUCUCUCAGCCCUGACUGCUUUUCUGUUCAUGGAAUUUCCAGUGUCUACGUUAGAGCCAUGCAUCUUCUGUUGCUCAAUGGAGAUUAGUAAGCAAUGCAUAAAUGAACCCAGGAGCAGAAUUCUUGGAGCUCCAACCAAUGAGAAGACUUGUAAAAUGUGGCAUUUGAGAAAGACCUUGAUGCUGGAAUGGUUUUGUAAGCUAAGCAGGAAAGGACCCGAGUUAGCAAAACUAGCAGCAUUUAUUUGUGUACAUUGAAAGUCUAGGAGAGAGCGGUCCAUCUCAGAGCUAUUUAAGUCACAGCUCGAUGUGUCCAGCAUUAACAUUUAUACCUCACAGGGUAAUGGUGGAGACAGCCAGAGUGUCUCUGAAGUCUCUUCAUCAGCCACAUAAAGUCCGGCUCUGACUUGGGAUUUUCCAGGUUGCUGGUGGCAACAAUACUUCUGAGGAGCUUGCUAUUUAGAGUUAUUUCUUCCUCGCUAAGAAAGCUGGUGGGUACAUGUGGGAGGAAAAAUGGCAAAAUAAAGACCAACUUUGAUGCAUAGACAGGGCCCUCCUACAAAUGCAUCCGAGUCAUAACUGAGCAGUCAUGACACUCUCGAUUAAUUUAAUGAAAUUAAUUUUUUCCAUACCCCUCUUUCUGUGCUACAAAGCACUUUACAGUGAGAGGCAAAAGGAGAUAAUGAGAUAAUGCUUUAUGGAACUACACAGCAGCGAGUUUCCCAUCAUUAGCAAGACAGAGGAAUAAGUUAGAAAUGGUUCGGAUAAGCGAAAACUCUGAAUAGCAGCCAGAGAGACAGGCUGAAGCAAGAUGAGGCUGCUAAAUCUGUUUCUUACUACAGAAGUAGCUGGGCUGCUAGUGGGAUUCUGAAUGUGACGAGGGGCUAAAUACCUGCUCUUUUUAUUCUGUGCCAUCUAUGGAAAACUGUCCACCAUCUUCAGUUCUGCAGUCAUAAAGGUCUGAUUAGAGUGUAAAGAUUACCAGUGUGGUUAUUUGAAUAAGAAUGGCCCUCAUAGUCUCAUGUAUUUAAAUGCUUAGUCACCAGAGAAUGGAACUCUUUGAAAGGACUAGGAAGAUUAGGAGGUGUGGCCUUGUUAGAGGAAAUGUGUCAAGGUGGGUGGCUUUGCCAGGCACAGUGUCAUCUCUGUCCCCCUGUCCAGUGUCCCCCCACCCUUCUGCUGCCCGUGGAUCAGGAUGUAGAACUCUUUUGCAGUCACUUCUCCAGCACUGUGUCUGCCUGCCUGCUGCCAUGCUCUCUGCCAUGGAGACAAUGCAGGAAGCCUCUGAAAUUGUAAGCCAGCCCCAAUUAAGUGCUUUCUUUUAUAAGAAUUGCCCUGGUCAUUGUAUUGUUUGGCUUUAUGUGUCAACUUGACACAAGCUGGAGUCGUUAGAGAGGAAGGAGCCUCAGCUGAGGCAAUGCCUCCAUGAGAUCCAACUGUAAGGCUUUUUCUCAAUCAGUGACCAUUGGAGGAGGGCCCAGCACAUGGUGUGUGUUGCCAUUCCCACCUGGUAGUCCUGGGUUCUAUAAGAAAGCAGGCUGGGAAAGCCAUGGGGAGCAAGCCAGUAAGGAGCACCCAUCCGUGGCCUCUGCAUCAGCUCCUGUCUCUCGGA